AUUGAACGCUGGCGGCAGGCCUAACACAUGCAAGUCGAGCGGAUGAAGGGAGCUUGCUCCUGGAUUCAGCGGCGGACGGGUGAGUAAUUCCUAGGAAUCUGCCUGUUAGUUGGGGAUAACGUCCGGAAACGGGCGCUAAUACCGCAUACGUCCUGAGGGAGAUAGUGGUGUAUCUUCGGACCUCUCGCUAUCAGAUGAUCCUAGGUCGGAUUAGCUAGUUGUUGGGUUAAAGGCAUACCAAGGCGACGAUCCGUAACUGGUCUGAGAGGAUGAUCAGUAAAACUGGAAGUGAGACACGGUCAAGAAGCAUACGGGAGGAAGCAGUGGGGAAUAUUGGACAAUGGGCGAAAGCCUGAUCAAGCAAUGCCGCGUGUGUGAAGAAGGUCUUCGGAUUGUAAAGCACUUUAAGUUGGGAGGAAGGGAAGUAAGUUAAUACCUAGCUGUUUUGACGUUACCAAAAGAAAAAGCACCGGCUAACUUCGUG
rnacentral:rRNA from 1 species